GUCAGCGGGGGGCCCUGCAGGGAAUUUACGGAAUCCCCGAGAUGGCCCCGAGCCUGGAGCUCUUCACAGAGAGGUUCAAGCCGCGGCUGGUGGCCAUGGCUCACGACAAGGAGCCCCAGGUGGCCCUGGAGGUGCUGCGGCUGCUCACGGACAUGGACAGGAACCUGGAGGAGGCGCUGAGCCCCGAGGAUUGCCAGAGCAUCUUCCCCGUGGUGUUCGUGUCCAGCCGCGCCCUGGCCUCGGCCGCGGGCAGGUUCCUGUACCAGAGG